GUUUUGUCUUGUUUUUAAAAAUUUUCAGCUGUUAUGGACGGAAUGGUUUUUCGUACGGUGAAGGAAAAGUGGAAAUAUUAUACUGCAGCUGUUUACACCUAGGCUAAUUAAAAACAAAUGGCGAUUGUCCUGACUAACACAGAAACUAUAACCGUUGUUUUCCGGGUGCCAAAUUUAACUGGACUAGCAAAUCCGCUUGAGACCGUAACAUGUAAACACGAAAGCGAAAAACGGUUACCGCAAUUCGGUUUUCUUAUUUCAGAACAUGUUUCGCAUGUACAAGUAGUGAUACAAUUCAAAAAAGAUGCUCUAGACCUGAACUGUUAGCGGAAGAACAUGGGAAUCCUCAGAAGAGAUUGCGAAUCUUGGAUACAAAGAAAAGCAAUUGCCCAGCUACUCUAAACAUGAAGUUAAGCAGUUAGUAAAUAAACUCAGGGAUACCAAGGCAAAAGUUCUUGCAAGGCUGCACAAGGAUUUAGCAUUGCCAAGGCCACCAAAUAGUUACUUGCAUUACUACUUAACUGUUUCCCAAGCAAGCACACACACACAUGGUACCAAGCAUUUUGAAACAAGUUGGUACAUACAUCCUUCAUAUGUAAAAAAAUAAAAAAAUUCGUACUCAAUGGAGAGACAUCUCUCAGUCAUUAAGUUGGCUCUAGAUAGAUUUGUUGAUAAAUUUUGCUGGGACACACAUACUGGGUCGAAUGAAUAUUUUACUGCAUUGAGAAAGCAAUUUACAGUCACAUAUAUCAGACUUUGUACGGUACAAAUAAGGUAUUAUUUGAUGAGACUAGACUGCAGAAUUAGGUUGAUGAGUAGAAUAAAUAAAUAAA